GACACGGUCCAAACUCCUACGGGAGGCAGCAGUGAGGAAUAUUGGUCAAUGGCCGGAAGGCUGAACCAGCCAAGUCGCGUGAGGGAAUAAGGCCCUACGGGUCGUAAACCUCUUUUGCCAGGGAGCAAUGCCGUCCACGUGUGGACGGAAGGAGAGUACCUGGAGAAAAAGCAUCGGCUAACUCCGUGCCAGCAGCCGCGGUAAUACGGAGGAUGCGAGCGUUAUCCGGAUUUAUUGGGUUUAAAGGGUGCGUAGGCGGCCUGCCAAGUCAGCGGUAAAAUUGCGGGGCUCAACCCCGUACAGCCGUUGAAACUGCCGGGCUCGAGUGGGCGAGAAGUAUGCGGAAUGCGUGGUGUAGCGGUGAAAUGCAUAGAUAUCACGCAGAACCCCGAUUGCGAAGGCAGCAUACCGGCGCCCGACUGACGCUGAGGCACGAAAGUGCGGGGAUCAAACAGGAUUAGAUACCCUGGUAGUCCGCACAGUAAACGAUGAAUGCUAGCUGUCCGGGGGGAUUGACCCCUGG
rnacentral:rRNA from 1 species